AGUGAACGCUGGCGGCAGGCCUAAUACAUGCAAGUCGAACGGCAGCACAGCAGAGCUUGCUCUGUGGGUGGCGAGUGGCGGACGGGUGAGGAAUACAUGGGAAUCUGCCCAGUCGUGGGGGAUAACGUAGGGAAACUUACGCUAAUACCGCAUGCGCCCUUCGGGGGAAAGCCGGGGACCUUCGGGCCUGGCGCGAUUGGAUGAGCCCAUGUCGGAUUAGCUAGUUGGCGGGUAAUGGCCCACCAAGGCGACGAUCCGUAGCUGGUCUGAGAGGAUGAUCAGCCACACUGGAACUGAGACACGGUCCAGACUCCUACGGGAGCAGCAGUAGGGAAUAUUGGACAAUGGGCGCAAGCCUGAUCCAGCCAU
rnacentral:rRNA from 1 species